rnacentral:rRNA from 1 species
GACGAACGCUGGCGGCGUGCUUAACACAUGCAAGUCGAACGGAAAGGCCCUGCUUUUGUGGGGUGCUCGAGUGGCGAACGGGUGAGUAACACGUGAGUAACCUGCCCUUGACUUUGGGAUAACUUCAGGAAACUGGGGCUAAUACCGGAUAGGAGCUCCUGCUGCAUGGUGGGGGUUGGAAAGUUUCGGCGGUUGUGGAUGGACUCGCGGCUUAUCAGCUUGUUGGUGGGGUAGUGGCUUACCAAGGCUUUGACGGGUAGCCGGCCUGAGAGGGUGACCGGCCACAUUGGGACUGAGAUACGGCCCAGACUCCUACGGGAGGCAGCAGUGGGGAAUAUUGCACAAUGGGCGGAAGCCUGAUGCGGCAACGCCGCGUGCGGGAUGACGGCCUUCGGGUUGUAAACCGCUUUCGCCUGUGACGAAGCGUGAGUGACGGUAAUGGGUAAAGAAGCACCGGCUAACUACGUG